AUGCCAAAUAGUAAUCUUUUUGAAGCUCUUCAUAGAAAUAUAAAAGAUGAGAAGGUUUAUUGGCAUUGGAAUCAGAGGGAUAUAAAAUCUAGCUGCAUCUUGCUUGAUGAAGAUUAUGAGGCAAAAAGCGCUGAAUUCGGUGUUACAAGGUUUGCUGGGAGACAUGGUUAUAUUGCUCCAGAUUUGAACCCCUGUAGUCAGGAAAUCCCCCAUAUGCCGAGGCCUUACAAGGUCGGAUGUGAGACAUCAGAUCUUGAUCAGAUAGUCCAAAAUGCACGACUGUCAAUUUUGUGA
rnacentral:lncRNA from 1 species